rnacentral:rRNA from 1 species
UACGUAGGGUGCGAGCGUUGUCCGGAAUUAUUGGGCGUAAAGAGCUCGUAGGCGGUGUGUCGCGUCGGCCGUGAAAACCUGGGGCUCAACUCUGGGCGUGCGGUCGAUACGGGCAUCACUUGAGUUCGGCAGGGGAGACUGGAAUUCCUGGUGUAGCGGUGAAAUGCGCAGAUAUCGAGGAGGAACACCGGUGGCGAAGGCGGGUCUCUGGGC